rnacentral:rRNA from 1 species
AACGAACGCUGGCGGCAUGCCUAACACAUGCAAGUCGAACGAGACCUUCGGGUCUAGUGGCGCACGGGUGCGUAACGCGUGGGAACCUGCCUUUAGGUUCGGAAUAACUCAGAGAAAUUUGAGCUAAUCUCGGAUGCCGUCUUCGGCCCGAAGAUAUAUAGCCUUUAGAUGGGCCCGCGUUGGAUUAGCUAGUUGGUGGGGUAAAGGCCUACCAAGGCGACGAUCCAUAGCUGGUCUGAGAGGAUGAUCAGCCACACUGGGACUGAGACACGGCCCAGACUCCUACGGGAGGCAGCAGUGGGGAAUAUUGGACAAUGGGCGAAAGCCUGAUCCAGCAAUGCCGCGUGAGUGAUGAAGGCCUUAGGGUUGUAAAGCUCUUUUACCCGAGAUGAUAAUGACAGUAUCGGGAGAAUAAGCUCCGGCUAACUCCGUG